rnacentral:sRNA from 1 species
GUUGAACCAGACCCCUAAUUUUUGUUAGGAGACGUUAUUUUAGUCAUGACACCCUGGAAUUCGCGCUUUUCCUUGCUCUGUCGUUAGUCUUUAAACAUCUCGAAAGGGACGUGAGCUAACCCAACAAGCUUAAAUAACAAGGUUGAAGCAAACAUUACCCAGAAAUGG